UCCAGCUUAUCGCUGGCGGUCUCCUGCGAGUUCCCAACUGAAUGAUGGCAACACAGGACAAGGGCUGGUAAGGUUCUGCGCGUUGCGUCGAAUUAAACCACAUGCUCCACCGCUUGUGCGGGCCCCCGUCAAUUCCUUUGAGUUUUAAUCUUGCGACCGUACUCCCCAGGCGGAAUGCUUAAAGCGUUAGCUGCGCCACUAGUGAGUAAACCCACUAACGGCUGGCAUUCAUCGUUUACGGCGUGGACUAC
rnacentral:misc_RNA from 1 species